rnacentral:rRNA from 1 species
ACGUAGGUGGCGAGCGUUAUCCGGAAUGAUUGGGCGUAAAGGGUGCGUAGGUGGCAGAACAAGUCUGGAGUAAAAGGUAUGGGCUCAACCCGUGCUGGCUCUGGAAACUGUUCAGCUAGAGAACAGAAGAGGACGGCGGAACUCCAUGUGUAGCGGUAAAAUGCGUAGAUAUAUGGAAGAACACCGGUGGCGAAGGCGGCCGUCUGGUCUGUUGCUGACACUGAAGCACGAAAGCGUGGGGAGCAAAUAG